GAUGCAUCUUAUGUAGUUUAUAUCCGUUAAAAUGAAAAUCCAGCGCUCCGCUACUUCAUUAUUUGCAUUCAUUAAAUCUCUUACGGUUACAGACAAGAGAAAGGAAACAAGAAAGCGUAGAAAUAAUAUUGCAGUUCAGCCAUUCUGUUCUCGUGUUCUUUAUCUGAGAAAGACGUCUCAUCAAAAAUCAACCUAUUACUGAUCAAAUUACUAAUACGAUACUUAUAGUAAUGUGACAUCAAUUGCACGUGCCGAAGGAAUUGCUUCGUUACGCUACACUAUGUUAUGACAUCACUGUUCUCUCAAAACCUUGUCCGACCGGUGAAGCUUGCGUAACUUCACCAGAUUUACCUUGCCGAAUUUUUGUAUUGUCGAUCACUCGAUCUUUGGCAUAUUCCACAAUGUUAAUUAAGAUUUGACAGGCGCUAACAGACGUGGUUCUAAACGACUUAACAGGAUAAUUGCUUAUGAUCGAUGGAAGUCGUUCUAACCUCGACACAAGCGCUUUCCGAGACCGUUGGAACUUGGAACACACGAUUGUGAUGGAUAUAAGCAUGUAUCUAUCCAUCCACGGGCCCCGCACUGCACAAAUUCCUUUAUAACCUAAAUAAUAUAUCUUAAACAAAAUGAAAGACUACUAAACAAAAAUAUCUCGAUCUUUCCGAUAAAUAAAGCAAAUAAAAAAUAAUUUCGAAUGAAA